ACAGGAUUCUUCAAUCCAGAUCCCCGGGGAGAAUCAGUCUUGAAAAACCAAAGCCAGAAGUUCCGCUGAGUCCAGAGCCCCAGCGGGCCCUCUCGCUUGCCCCCUCCCCAUUUUUCCGUUGGGUUCUCUUGGUUGCCGGCGGGGGCGACUACGCGUGCGCCACCCUGCUCGAGUAGCUAGGCGGUCGACUUCUGCGGGCUGGACAGGCGCGUGCGCGGAGCUGUACCCGUUGCUUGGCUACGGCUCUUUGCUGGAGCCUGCCCGGCGCAGUUCGCGUGAUUAAGCAAAUGCCUUUCCUGGUGCUAGUAGGAACUCUCACCACCACCACCCCCAUUCCCCUCCAACCUUUGCUAGAGGAGAGAAGCCAGAGCCUGGAGGCCAAGUCCUUCAAACUCCAUUGCGACUCCUCCCGGCAGGGCGCGGCCUAAAGCCCACGGCGGAACGCUGGACUUAGACCAGGGAUGUCAGCAGGUCUGUCUGUCGGAGCAGAGGCUCUCCGGAAAAGGAAUACAGCUGGCAUCAAUCAGAUCCACAUCCCUGAGAGGACUGCAUCAACUCUUUUGGAAACUGUCUUCCCACCUUGAUGCCCUGCGCUGUGCAGCUUCUGAAAAUGGUGUGUCCUUAUGGCAACCUCUGUAUUUCUGUGCGUAUACUUGAUACUGCAAGAAUCUGCUGUGAGCACAGCCCUGAACCAGGAGGGGUGGCCCAGAAGCAGGCUCCACCCACAUUCCAGCACACUCAAGGCAUGUCCCCACCCAGGCCAGUUUGGGGAUCAGAGGCCACAUAGCUUCUGUUUUCUUGGAGUCUCAAUGCAGGCUACUCUGGCGAGUCCACAAUGCACAUUGGAGCCCUUUGGCAGUCAGGUGUUAGGAGCCCAGGCCCAGGCCGGGACAGUCCGUCUGUCCUCAGUUGGAUUUGGAUGAUGCUGUUUGGAGGGAUGCACAGAACAGUCCAGGCAGUGUUUUCUCUAGGAGGCACCACACCCUGCAUGGCUUACUGGCUCAAGUUGUCAGGAAGGGGACAGUGGGGCAGGGCAGGGGAGAAGUACUCCCAAGGCCCAUAAACACUACUACAGAACACUGGAGCCUGCAGACUCACGACUGGUACUGGGUAGUAGACUCUGCACAUGCUGAGGACACUUCUUCAAGUCCACACUGGUGGUUACAGAAAGUGUACAAACCACAUCAUCUGACUUGUUUCCUGUUUUAGAUACAAAACUAAUCCAUGAACCCAAGGUUCAAGGUCUGGGCGUGUUUCUAAACACAUCUGCAAAUCCCAGGUGACGCUGGGGGGAGGGGCAGUGAGUGUGGGGGAGGGGCAAUUCUGGCCAUGGCAGUUUCCAGCUUCCCUUCUCCUGUCACGUUCUUUUUUCUUUCUUUUCGAUUUUGGAAAGAAGCAAUCAAUAAAUAAACAGCAUUUACAAAUCAUGAAUCCUUGUUCAUAUUUUACAGACACACAGGGAACUUCACCCUGACCAGGAAAAUCAAGGCUCUGAGAACUAGUUUAUUUUCUUGGAACAGAUAUGUUUUUCCCUAGUGCCAUAGAAAACAAUACAUAUAAAUAAAAAGGCAGUGUUUCUGUGGAAAAUAAAAGUACAUAAAUAAAUACU
ensembl:processed_transcript 0610009E02Rik RIKEN cDNA 0610009E02 gene